CCCUUAGAUGUUCUGGGCCGCACGCGCGCUACACUGACGAUGGCAACGAGUUUUUCCUUCGCCGAAAGGUGUGGGUAAUCUUUUGAAACAUCGUCGUGCUGGGGAUAGAUCAUUGCAAUUUUUGAUCUUGAACGAGGAAUUCCUAGUAAGCGCGAGUCAUCAGCUCGCGUUGAUUACGUCCCUGCCCUUUGUACACACCGCCCGUCGCUACUACCGAUUGAAUGGUUUAGUGAGGACUCCUGAUUGGCGCCGCCGCCCCGGCAACGGAGCAGCGGACUGCCGAAAAGUUGUUCAAACUUGAUCAUUUAGAGGAAGUAAAAGUCGUAGCA
rnacentral:rRNA from 1 species